rnacentral:lncRNA from 1 species
GUUGUUAUUCCAAGACUGGAGAUAGGCAGGGUUAAAAAUAUUAUAACUUUUCUUUUAAUGAUGGUGCUAAAAUUAUUUCUAUAAAAUUCUUUAAAGAUAAAGAUUGUUUCAUCAAUGCUAUUUGUGAACACAGAACUGUUAAACAUCCCAUUUGAGAGAUAGAUCAUUAUUCCUGGGUCUUUUAACUGUUCCUUUUAUGAUGUAUUUAGAACAUUGUGUAAUGCUUGCAAGUGUCUUAACCUAGGACACAUAGGUCCCCUUGUGUCUCAAGAUUUUUUCCUUAAUUGCAGUUGUUUGCUCCAUUGUUGUUUCUUACUUAAAUAAUCUGGGCCAUCCCAAAGGACAAGGCCCACAUAGAACUUUGAUCAUGUAUCUCUGCAAAGCAUCGAAUUAAAUGCAUGCUUCUGUCAUGUCAGUCAUCUUCAGUUUGUUGAAUCCUUUGAACAUAUUAGGUCCUUUUAGUUUCCAGGAGUGAAAACUAAGAUCUCCUGGUAGUUUUUGUUCACAAUUUAGUAGACGAUGCAACAAGUACCUACCAUUUUGUCUGCACUGGCUUAAAAAUAAACCUAUCUGUAACAUUGCCUGCAAAGGCAUGUUGACAUCAAUGAAGACAGUCUAUGCGUUAGAAAACUCAGGCUAGUGAUUGGUAAAGAGUAAAGGAAAUGAAAAAUCCAUUAUUGAAUAAACUAAUAAUAAAACAUGC